rnacentral:rRNA from 1 species
GACGAACGCUGGCGGCGUGCUUAACACAUGCAAGUCGAACGGAAAGGCCCUGCUUUUUUGGGGUGCUCGAGUGGCGAACGGGUGAGUAACACGUGAGUAACCUGCCCUUGACUUUGGGUUAACUUCAGGAAACUGGGGCUAAUACCGGAUAGGAGCUCCUGCUGCAUGGUGGGGGUUGGAAAGUUUCGGCGGUUGGGGAUGGACUCGCGGCUUAUCAGCUUGUUGGUGGGGUAGUGGCUUACCAAGGCUUUGACGGGUAGCCGGCCUGAGAGGGUGACCGGCCACAUUGGGACUGAGAUACGGCCCAGACUCCUACGGGAGGCAGCAGUGGGGAAUAUUGCACAAUGGGCGGAAGCCUGAUGCAGCAACGCCGCGUGCGGGAUGACGGCCUUCGGGUUGUAAACCGCUUUCGCCUGUGACGAAGCGUGAGUGACGGUAAUGGGUAAAGAAGCACCGGCUAACUACGUG